UACGGAGGGGGCUAGCGUUGUUCGGAAUUACUGGGCGUAAAGCGCACGUAGGCGGCUUGUAAGUUAGAGGUGAAAGCCCGGGGCUCAACUCCGGAAUUGCCUUUAAGACUGCAUCGCUAGAAUUGUGGAGAGGUAAGUGGAAUUCCGAGUGUAGAGGUGAAAUUCGUAGAUAUUCGGAAGAACACCAGUGGCGAAGGCGACUUACUGGACACAUAUUGACGCUGAGGUGCGAAAGCGUGGGGAGCAAACAGG
rnacentral:rRNA from 1 species